rnacentral:rRNA from 1 species
AUGGUGAAGAAGCUUGGCCUAACAUCCCUCAUCUUCAGCAGCAAGCAGGUGGACAGUGCUGCCAGUACCAGUGGCGCUGCACCUUCCUCCGUGGCCUCGUCCUCCUCCAUGUCUGCCACCUCGUGGCAAUGGCCGUCCUGCAAGCAGCCAAGGACCCUCUCCUUCAGGCAGCAGCAGCACCACCAGACGGCGUACAAGACCAUGAACUCGGCCUACUUGCCAGACUCCGGCGCGGACUCGUGCUUCUCCAACUCCUUCGCCUCGGUCGACGACAGCCUCUCCACGGCGUCCGAGGCCGCCUCCGGGCUCGUUGAGGCCAACGAGCGAGAGACGGUCAUCCGCGCCCUGCGCUCCGGCCGCCUCUUCUUCGAGCCCCACGCAACGCCGGCCACCUCCUCCUCCAUCCUCGACGAGGCCAAGCUGAAGGUGAAGGACAGCGACACUACCACCGUUACCACCUGCUGCGGCAGCGGGAAGGUCGACAAGACGGCGCCAUUCGAGGGAGCGACGGCGCUGACCAUGGACUCGUCGAACCCGUACCGCGACUUCCGGGCGUCCAUGGAGGAGAUGGUAAUGAGCCAUGGCGUCAAGGACUGGUGCUGGUUGGAGAAGAUGCUGGGGUGGUACCUCAGGGCCAACGGCAAGAGCACCCACGGCCUCAUCGUCGGCGCCUUCGUCGACCUGCUCGUCGCGCUCAGCGACACCGCCUCGCCGUCCUCCCCGACCACCGCCAGCACCAACCGCUCGUCCUCCUUCAGCGGCACCGACGAGAUCAAGGAGGAAGAAGGAUGA